GUGCCGUUGAAUAAAAUAGUGUACAACAGGUUAGAAAACAUUCGGUGUGUUUUGUUUUGUUUUUUUAAAGCUCUUUUGAUUACCUAUUACGGAAGCAAAUAUGUUUCACUAAUGUGCAAAAGGUAUUUUAUAUUGCAUCGGUACGAUUAUCGUGUUCAAAGGCUUUUUCGAGAAAUGCCAAUACAUAAAUCGGUUAGUCCGUUUAUAUCGGUUUCUCAAACCCCUGCAAGCAAGUGUCAAUCAUUUCAGUCUUAAACUUUUGACGAACGAAUGCCUGGUCGCUAGCUGCAGCUUUCCAUCGAUGUAGGAACACGAUCUUCGAGAUUUUACUUCACCUGAUCUAGCCAUCGAACUCGCUGUGCUUCCUUGCUUCUAGUACCGAACUGAGAGCCGCUCGAACACCUAGCUGCUGGGGCACGAGGCUGCCUUCUUCACAACAUGCUCCAGCCAUGGCAAACAGCCAUGUCCGGUGCGCCAUACGGCUUCAGUAAGCUCGUGGAUGAUCAUUCGCAUCCACACCCCAUGCUCGAAUUCACCGCCAAAGAUGAUCCGAAGGAUGCGUUGGCCGUCGUGUUUCGCCACUGUCCUUUGCAUGCUGUAAAGAAACAUACCUAUUCAUCGUCGGCCAAUGGUGCAGCACGAGCGCAACGUGAUACAUCGUGACAUCAUCCGGAAAACUUGCAGCUGGGGCGUGAUCUGAAGAUGACGGUGGUGAUCUGAAGAUAGCUGAUUUUGGUUGGUCAGCUGCACACAAAAACUGUCGAUCUAUGGAAUUUGGGCAUGCUGGCGUAAGGCC